ACGUAGGGCGCAGCGUUGUCCGGAAUUAUUGGGCGUAAAGAGCUCGUAGGCGGUUUGUCGCGUCUGCUGUGAAAGCCCGGGGCUCAACCCCGGGUCUGCAGUGGGUACGGGCAGACUAGAGUGCAGUAGGGGAGACUGGAAUUCCUGGUGUAGCGGUGAAAUGCGCAGAUAUCAGGAGGAACACCGAUGGCGAAGGAGAGUCUGUGUGUUACUGACGCUGAGGAGCGAAAGCAUGGGGAGCGAACAGGAUUAGAUACCCGGGUAGUC
rnacentral:rRNA from 1 species